rnacentral:rRNA from 1 species
GGGGAUAAGCGGCGGAAACGCCGUCUAAUACCGCGUGACAACCCGAGGGGGCAUCCCCUUGGGUUCAAAGGAGAGAUCCGGUACCGGCUGGGCAUGCGGCGCAUUAGCUAGUUGGCGGGGCAACGGCCCACCAAGGCGACGAUGCGUAGGGGUUCUGAGAGGAAGGUCCCCCACACUGGAACUGAGACACGGUCCAGACUCCUACGGGAGGCAGCAGUGAGGAAUAUUGGUCAAUGGGCGCAAGCCUGAACCAGCCAAGUCGCGUGAGGGAAGACGGCCCUACGGGUUGUAAACCUCUUUUGCCGGGGAGCAAGCCUGAGCACGUGUGCCCAGGCGGAGAGUACCCGGAGAAAAAGCAUCGGCUAACUCCGUGCCAGCAGCCGCGGUAAUACGGAGGAUGCGAGCGUUAUCCGGAUUUAUUGGGUUUAAAGGGUGCGCAGGCGGGCUGUUAAGCCGGCGGUAAAAAUUCAGGGCUCAACCCUGUCGAGCCGUCGGAACUGGCAGUCUUGAGUGGGCGAGAAGUAUGCGGAAUGCGUGGUGUAGCGGUGAAAUGCAUAGAUAUCACGCAGAACGCCGAUUGCGAAGGCAGCAUACCGGCGCCCAACUGACGCUGAGGCACGAAAGCGUGGGGAUCGAACAGGAUUAGAUACCCUGGUAGUCCACGCAGUAAAC